rnacentral:lncRNA from 1 species
AUUUUGGCUACUUGGUCUGGUCCAUUGGUCUGGUCUACUAAGCAAUGUGUGACCCGUCAGAUGGACAGAUCGUCACUUGUAUUAAUCGGGACAAUGGUUAUUGAAAAUGCAGUUCUAAAUUUGGAAAGUACGCUACUAAAAAUACAGUAUUUUUGUCCUAAUGAAAACCACAAACCUGAAAUAAACUAGCAUUCGGUUUUUUGGAAAAUGUUAAAUCUAUCUUACCGAAUGACAAAUAAUUUCUCGAGUGAAUGUGAAAUUUUAACUAAAAGUUUGAAUUUAGUUUUAAUCGAUCGGUGAUAACCUUCAAAAGCAGU